rnacentral:rRNA from 1 species
GAAGGUUUUCGGAUCGUAAAGCUCUGUUGUUAGGGAAGAACAAGUGCCGUUCGAAUAGGGCGGUACCUUGACGGUACCUAACCAGAAAGCCACGGCUAACUACGUGCCAGCAGCCGCGGUAAUACGUAGGUGGCAAGCGUUGUCCGGAAUUAUUGGGCGUAAAGGGCUCGCAGGCGGUUUCUUAAGUCUGAUGUGAAAGCCCCCGGCUCAACCGGGGAGGGUCAUUGGAAACUGGGGAACUUGAGUGCAGAAGAGGAGAGUGGAAUUCCACGUGUAGCGGUGAAAUGCGUAGAGAUGUGGAGGAACACCAGUGGCGAAGGCGACUCUCUGGUCUGUAACUGACGCUGAGGAGCGAAAGCGUGGGGAGCGAACAGGAUUAGAUACCCUGGUAGUCCACGCCGUAAACGAUGAGUGCUAAGUGUUAGGGGGUUUCCGCCCCUUAGUGCUGCAGCUAACGCAUUAAGCACUCCGCCUGGGGAGUACGGUCGCAAGACUGAAACUCAAAGGAAUUGACGGGGGCCCGCACAAGCGGUGGAGCAUGUGGUUUAAUUCGAAGCAACGCGAAGAACCUUACC